rnacentral:misc_RNA from 1 species
GAUGAAGAACGCAGCGAAAUGCGAUACGUAGUGUGAAUUGCAGAAUUCAGUGAAUCAUCGAAUCUUUGAACGCACAUUGCACCUCUCGGUAUUCCGGGAGGUAUGCCUGUUCGAGCGUCAUUUGUACCCUCAAGCUCUGCUUGGUGUUGGGUGUUUGUUCCGCCUCUGUGUGUGAACUCGCCUCAAAACAAUUGGCACCCGGCGUACUUGUUUCGGAGCGCAGCACAUUUUGCGAUCCAGAUCAACGUACAGCGGCAUCCAAGAAGCCUUAUUUAACGCUCUUGACCUCGGAUCAGGUAGGGAUACCCGCUGAACUUAAGCAUAUCAAUAAGCGGAGGA